rnacentral:rRNA from 1 species
CCUACGGGUGGCAGCAGUGGGGAAUAUUGGACAAUGGGCGAAAGCCUGAUCCAGCCAUGCCGCGUGUGUGAAGAAGGCCUUCGGGUUGUAAAGCACUUUCAGUGGGGAAGAAAGCCUUGGGGCUAAUACCCUCGAGGAAGGACAUCACCCACAGAAGAAGCACCGGCUAACUCCGUGCCAGCAGCCGCGGUAAUACGGAGGGUGCGAGCGUUAAUCGGAAUUACUGGGCGUAAAGCGCGCGUAUGCGGUCUGAUAAGCCGGUUGUGAAAGCCCCGGGCUCAACCUGGGAACGGCAUCCGGAACUGUCAGGCUAGAGUGCAGGAGAGGAAGGUAGAAUUCCCGGUGUAGCAGUGAAAUGCGUAGAGAUCGGGAGGAAUACCAGUGGCGAAGGCGGCCUUCUGGACUGACACUGACGCUGAGGUGCGAAAGCGUGGGUAGCAAACAGGAUUAGAUACCCUAGUAGUC